rnacentral:sRNA from 1 species
CUGACACCGAUGGCUUUGGUAAGACCUAGCAUCUGGCACUCCUCCAUCUCCCUCCAUACUCGCUCCAUGUCCAUCACCGCAAGGUCCUCCUUAGCGAACACAGCCGAUGGUGGGCCUUCUGGAACUCCAAGGCUCACCGGAAAGUGAACCAGCGAGCUCUAACUAUUGGUGCAUGCUAACCGGAGUGUCCUACGGAGUGCCGGCACCACACGACCGGGGUGUGCAUCGCUGAUCCAUAAUUUGGAUGUGAUGUAGAGUUCAUCUCGCGAUGAAACCAAAGCCAACGCGCACCGCUUCUGUCGUGGCCUCACCAAGGGCAGCCUCUGUGCCGUAAUUGGCCGCCGUGUCGAAGUGACGGUAGCCGACUUUAAUGGUGCAUAGGACGGCCUCGGUCACGGCGACCGGAUCGGCUAUAUGCCUAGCGGGAACGUUGCCGUGCCCAUGCCUACCCACGGCAUCGGCUUGCCGGAGCUUAGCGCCACCUCCGGCAUCCGUUUUCCCUCUGCACCGUCCGCAGCCAUGGGGGGAUCGAAGGGGCAAUUGUGG